rnacentral:rRNA from 1 species
AGAGUUUGAUCAUGGCUCAGAAUCAACGCUGGCGGCGUGCCUAACACAUGCAAGUCGAACGCGAAAGUCCCGCAAGGGAUGAGUAGAGUGGCAAACGGGUGAGUAACACGUGGGUGACCUGCCUUCGAGCGGGGGAUAACGUCCCGAAAGGGACGCUAAUACCGCAUAACAUCCUGCCUUUGAAGAGGUGGUGAUCAAAGCUGGGGAUCGCAAGACCUAGCACUCGAAGAGGGGCCCGCGUCCGAUUAGCUAGUUGGUGAGGUAAUGGCUCACCAAGGCAACGAUCGGUAGCCGGCCUGAGAGGGCGGACGGCCACACUGGGACUGAGACACGGCCCAGACUCCUACGGGAGGCAGCAGUGGGGAAUUGUUCGCAAUGGGCGCAAGCCUGACGACGCAACGCCGCGUGGAGGAUGAAGACCUUCGGGUCGUAAACUCCUUUCGAUCGAGACGAAUUCCUCCGGGGUGAACAAUCCCGGAGGUUGACGGUACCGAGAGAAGAAGCCCCGGCUAACUCCGUGCCAGCAGCCGCGGUAAUACGGGGGGGGCAAGCGUUGUUCGGAAUUACUGGGCGUAAAGGGCUCGUAGGUGGCCAACUAAGUCGGACGUGAAAUCCCUCGGCUUAACCGGGGAACUGCGUCCGAUACUGGUUGGCUUGAGUUUGGGAGAGGGAUGCGGAAUUCCAGGUGUAGCGGUGAAAUGCGUAGAUAUCUGGGGGAACACCGGUGGCGAAGGCGGCAUCCUGGACCAAUACUGACGCUGAGGAGCGAAAGCCAGGGGAGCAAACGGGAUUAGAUACCCCGGUAGUCCUGGCCCUAAACGAUGAAUGCUUGGUGUGGCGGGUAUCGAUCCCUGCCGUGCCGAAGCUAACGCAUUAAGCAUUCCGCCUGGGGAGUACGGUCGCAAGGCUGAAACUCAAAUGAAUUGACGG